rnacentral:rRNA from 1 species
AUUGAACGCUGGCGGCAUGCUUUACACAUGCAAGUCGAACGGCAGCGCGGGCUUCGGCCUGGCGGCGAGUGGCGAACGGGUGAGUAAUACAUCGGAACGUGCCCAGUAGUGGGGGAUAGCUCGGCGAAAGCCGGAUUAAUACCGCAUACGACCUGAGGGUGAAAGCGGGGGAUCUUCGGACCUCGCGCUAUUGGAGCGGCCGAUGGCAGAUUAGCUAGUUGGUGGGGUAAAGGCCUACCAAGGCGACGAUCUGUAGCUGGUCUGAGAGGACGACCAGCCACACUGGGACUGAGACACGGCCCAGACUCCUACGGGAGGCAGCAGUGGGGAAUUUUGGACAAUGGGCGAAAGCCUGAUCCAGCAAUGCCGCGUGUGUGAUGAAGGCCUUCGGGUUGUAAAGCACUUUUGGCGGGAACGAAAAGGACUGUGCCAAUACCACGGUUCGAUGACGGUACCCGCAGAUUAAGCACCGGCUAACUACGUG